CCAGGUUAAACUGAGCAGGCGAUGGACUUUAAAAGUUCGUGGGGCCGGGCCGGAAACGGCAGCAGAUGAUAAAUAUCUGUGGGACAGUA
rnacentral:ncRNA from 2 species